GUUGUGGCUCAGUGGUAGAGCGCUUGCCUAGCACGCGUGAAGCACUGGGUUUGAUCCCCAGUACAACA
rnacentral:tRNA from 1 species